AGAGAGAGAGAGAGAGAGAUGGAUGAGAUGGUAGGAAGAAGAAAAAAUUAUCGAGUGGCCCACAAAGCAUACAAAAUAUAAAAGUCCAAUGUGGUGGUUUUAUUCGAACUGAACAUGGCCAGAAUUUGUUUUCAAUAAUUUUAUUGUACAAAAAUCAAGGUUUAGUGAUUUUUUUAAGAGACAUUGAAAUUUAAUGCGUUUAAGGGGAUUUAGUGACAACGGUAAUAUUAUGAGUGAAAUUAAACCCUUUAAUUGAUAGGAUAUGAU
rnacentral:misc_RNA from 1 species